UACGAAGGGUGCAAGCGUUACUCGGAAUUACUGGGCGUAAAGCGUGCGUAGGUGGUGAGUUAAGUCUGUCGUGAAAGCCCCGGGCUCAACCUGGGAAUGGCGAUGGAUACUGGCUCGCUAGAGUGCGGUAGAGGAGAGUGGAAUUCCCGGUGUAGCAGAUGAAAUGCGUAGAGAUCGGGAGGAACAUCAGUUGCGAAGGCGGCUCUCUGGACCAGCACUGACACUGAGGCACGAAAGCGUGGGGAGCAAACAGG
rnacentral:rRNA from 1 species